rnacentral:rRNA from 1 species
AGAACGAACGCUGGCGGCAUGCCUAACACAUGCAAGUCGAACGCUUGCCCGGUUUCGGCCGGGCAGGAGUGGCGCACGGGUGAGUAGCGCGUGGGAACCUGCCCUGUUGUGGGGGAUAACCGAGGGAAACUUCGGCUAAUACCGCAUGCGCCCGGAGCAAUCCGGGGAAAGAUUUAUCGCAGCAGGAGGGGCCCGCGUCGGAUUAGGUAGUUGGUGGGGUAACGGCCCACCAAGCCUGUGAUCCGUAGCUGGUCUGAGAGGAUGAUCAGCCACACUGGGACUGAGACACGGCCCAGACUCCUACGGGAGGCAGCAGUGGGGAAUAUUGGACAAUGGGCGCAAGCCUGAUCCAGCAAUGCCGCGUGAGUGAUGAAGGCCUUAGGGUUGUAAAGCUCUUUCGCCCGCGACGAUGAUGACGGUAGCGGGAGAAGAAGCCCGGCUAACUCGUGCCAGCAGCCGC